CAGUCGAGGGGUAGAAGGAGCUUGCUCCUUUGAGACCGGCGCACGGGUGCGUAACGCGUAUGCAAUCUACCUUGUACAGGGGGAUAGCCCAGAGAAAUUUGGAUUAAUACCCCAUAGUGUAAUGAAUAGGCAUCUAUUUAUUACUAAAGUUCCAACGGUACAAGAUGAGCAUGCGUCCCAUUAGCUAGUUGGUGUGGUAACGGCAUACCAAGGCAACGAUGGGUAGGGGUCCUGAGAGGGAGAUCCCCCACACUGGUACUGAGACACGGACCAGACUCCUACGGGAGGCAGCAGUGAGGAAUAUUGGUCAAUGGGCGCAAGCCUGAACCAGCCAUGCCGCGUGCAGGAUGACGGUCCUAUGGAUUGUAAACUGCUUUUGUACAGGAAGAAACACUCCCUCGUGAGGGAGCUUGACGGUACUGUAAGAAUAAGGAUCGGCUAACUCCGUGCCAGCAGCCGCGGUAAUACGGAGGAUCCAAGCGUUAUCCGGAAUCAUUGGGUUUAAAGGGUCCGUAGGCGGUUUUAUAAGUCAGUGGUGAAAUCUGGUCGCUCAACGAUCAAACGGCCAUUGAUACUGUAGAACUUGAAUUAUUGGGAAGUAACUAGAAUAUGUAGUGUAGCGGUGAAAUGCUUAGAGAUUACAUGGAAUACCAAUUGCGAAGGCAGGUUACUACCAAUACAUUGACGCUGAUGGACGAAAGCGUGGGGAGCGAACAGGAUUAGAUACCCUGGUAGUCCACGCCGUAAACGAUGGAUACUAGCUGUUCGGAGCAAUCUGAGUGGCUAAGCGAAAGUGAUAAGUAUCCCACCUGGGGAGUACGAACGCAAGUUUGAAACUCAAAGGAAUUGACGGGGGCCCGCACAAGCGGAGGAGCAUGUGGUUUAAUUCGAUGAUACGCGAGGAACCUUACCAAGGCUUAAAUGGGAAACGACAGGUUUGGAAACAGAUCUUUCUUCGGACGUUUUUCAAGGUGCUGCAUGGUUGUCGUCAGCUCGUGCCGUGAGGUGUCAGGUUAAGUCCUAUAACGAGCGCAACCCCUUGUUGUUAGUUGCCAGCGAGUCAUGUCGGGAACUCUAGCAAGACUGCCAGUGCAA
rnacentral:rRNA from 1 species